rnacentral:misc_RNA from 1 species
ACUAUUAAUUAGGCGAUAGGCAGAGGUCAGCCGCCAGCCGGACUCCAUCAUUCAACGUUCAUGUUGGGAUGAGGAUACUUGAUGUUCUUCUCAUUUCCACUACAGCCUUGGCAGUUACUGGAAAUGAUGUGUUGGUUGUUGGUGGUGCUGGUUUCGUUGGAUAUCACACAACACUAGAGCUAUUGAGUAGAGGACACUCACCAAUUGUAUUACACAACUUUGAUGAUGAGAAACACUCUCCGCAGUGGGAGCAGAUGCAAAGGAGAAUCGAUGAGCUACACAAGAAAGAUGUCCCAUUGUAUCAUGGAGAUCUGUGUGGGAUGCCUCUCCUGGAGUACUUUAUCACUUCAAGGUUCCUAUCAGGAAUAAUUUAUUUGGGAGAAAGUUUCGGAGAUGACAUACCAGGAUAUAUAGAAAGAAGGAUGCAGUGUUUUAUUGCUUUGUUGGAAUUAUUAAGAAAUCACAAGGAUGUGCCAUUGGUAUACAGUACAACGCCCGAAGCGUCACUGAUAGAUUUUAAAUCUAAGGAUGCCAAACCAGCUCCUGUUCCUUUAUUCUCUGUUCUAAAGAGUGCCGAACAACAGUUUUCUGAAGUAUACUGCAGUAUGUAUCAAGUUAAAACUGUAGGAGUCCGUCCGUUUUAUCCUUAUGGUCCAAUGGCGGACUCUGGAUCAAUGGUAUAUAAUAUUGCAGAAUCUAUUAGCGAAGGAAAGUCCGUCCCAUUGCCUCAUAAUGCAAAGCAGAUUCCUUUGACUUACGACUUCACGGCCGUUACAGAUAUUGCUACUGGGAUUUGCAAUGCUUUAAAGAAUAUGCCUAAGACCUGUGGUGUCGUUUAUGAUCUAGGAAGUAGUCAUCCUCAAAAGGUUACAACUGCUGCUGACAUACUUAAAAAACAACUCAAGAAAGACACUACGAAUGAAAUUCAAAUAUUGAACUUGACUUCUCCAGUGGCUGACAUCAGUUUAGCUAGAAAGGAAAUUGGGUAUUCUCCUACAGCAGACUUUGAACAAGGAGUGAAGCCAUUUGUGGAAUGGUUUAUGUCUAAGAAAGCAAAAGUUCCAAAGAACAUAAUGAAGAUUGUCAAUGUAUAUUUAGACUCUGAUAUAAAGAUGCAAGAUAUUAAAAAAAGAGGUGACGUAUUCUACGAAAGAGUGAAAAACCUUCGCCUAAAAUAUGAGGCUGAGUCUACUGGUCGUCGUCCUGUUGCUAAAUUUUAUCCGAAUAAAAAUUUCAUAUUCUUUCCAGGUGUUACUUCAGGAAUUGAUAAAAGGACGUUAAAGGGAAGAACCAUUGAAGAAUUAAAGAAAGAGUGUGGCCGUAUUGACGAGUGUAUUGGUUUUACUCCUGAAGGCAGUCUUAGGGUUGCCAUUGGCUUACAAAAAGAUUGGACUAAUGGCAGUGGCCUAUAUGUGGCUGAUAUUGAUAUAUGCCAGGCUGGUCACCACAACUGUAGAGGAAACUACACUUGCAAAUAUGAAGGACCAUCACAGUGUACUUGUGGCUGUGCUAAAGGCUGGAAGAGUACAAAAAACACUAUAUGUGUUCAAGUUGAGUAUUUUGAAGGAAUGACAUCGGAUAAGGAAAGACAAUGGAAAUAUGACGACGCACUUCAUGGCCGUCAGUUUAAAGGACAAAUGACUGACUCCUUCACUGAACAUAAAGUAUAAAAAAACUGACUACCGUACAGGUGACUUCUUAACCACGAAAAUUAAUACCAUGAAAAUGCUCACUGCGCAUGUGCAGCAUGUGGAAAUCAAUGACUUAAUGCAAGUGCACGUGCAAAAAUGUGAAAUCGAACCCCCUCAAAAUUAAAGAAUUAAGAGCUUUUCACUACUGAAAACACGAAAUUUUAUACUCUUGAAAUUUACUACCUGAAACCAGCAUAAAUGGAACUGUAAUUCUGUCUUAUCCUGAUGCCAAAGGUGACAUUGAGAAGUUGAAGUC